AUUGAACGCUGGCGGCAGGCCUAACACAUGCAAGUCGAGCGGCAGCGGGAAAGUAGCUUGCUACUUUUGCCGGCGAGCGGCGGACGGGUGAGUAAUGCCUGGGGAUCUGCCCAGUCGAGGGGGAUAACUACUGGAAACGGUAGCUAAUACCGCAUACGCCCUACGGGGGAAAGCAGGGGACCUCCGGGCCUUGCGCGAUUGGAUGAACCCAGGUGGGAUUAGCUAGUUGGUGAGGUAAUGGCUCACCAAGGCGACGAUCCCUAGCUGGUCUGAGAGGAUGAUCAGCCACACUGGAACUGAGACACGGUCCAGACUCCUACGGGAGGCAGCAGUGGGGGAUAUUGCACAAUGGGGGAAACCCUGAUGCAGCCAUGCCGCGUGUGUGAAGAAGGCCUUCGGGUUGUAAAGCACUUUCAGCGAGGAGGAAAGGUUGGUAGCUAAUAACUGCCAGCUGUGACGUUACUCGCAGAAGAAGCACCGGCUAACUCCGUGCCAGCAGCCGCAGUAA
rnacentral:rRNA from 1 species